AGAGUUCUAUACCUUUGUGUGUGUGUGUGUGUGUGUGUACACAACUAACUUUGUUUAUGGUAUUCAAGAAGGUAGGGAGGGCUCCCUAGGCCCUUCCUGUUAAUAUGGGGUCUGGGAUGGAAUCGUGAGGGAGAUGCUCAGUGUUGGGGGCUGAGUUGGGAUGGGGACUCCUUAGCAACUGAGGGCCUCGCUCUUGCUCUCAGUGUCCUUGCUUGGGUGGUUGGUCCAGGGUUUCUUACUCGUUGGAGGCCGUGUAAGCCAUGAGGUCCACCACUCUUGCUGUAGCUGUAUUCAUUGUCAUACCAGGAAAUGAGCUUUACAAAGUUGUCAUUGAGAGCAAUGCCAGCCCCAGCAUCAAAGGUGGAAGAAUGGGAGUUGCUGUUGAAGUCGCAGGAAACAACCUGGUCCUCAGUGUAGCCCAGGAUGCCCUUUAGUGGGCCCUCGGACGCCUGCUUCACCACCUUCUUGAUGUCAUCAUACUUGGCAGGUUUCUGCAGGCCGCAUGUCAAAUCCACAAUGGAUACAUUGGGGCCAGAAAUAUAGAAGGCCAGGCCUUCCCGUUCAGCUCUGGGAUGAAUUUGCCCACAGCCUUGGCAGCACCAGUGGAUGCAGGGAUGAUGUUCUGGGCUGCCCCACGGCCAUCAUGCCACAGCUUGCCAGAGGGGCCAUCCACAGUCUUCUGAGUGGCAGUGAUGGUAUGGACUGUGGUCAUGAGCCCUUCCACGAUGCCAAAGUUGUCAUGGA
rnacentral:lncRNA from 1 species